rnacentral:miRNA from 1 species
CCCACAAUUGCUGGGUUAUAUAAUAAGCAUGCUUAGUUUUGUAAGAAACUGCCAUAUUCUUUUUCCAGAGUGGCUGAACCAUUUCAUAUUUCCACCAGCAGU